rnacentral:rRNA from 1 species
GAUGAACGCUGGCGGCGUGCCUAAUACAUGCAAGUCGAGCGAACAGACGAGGAUCUUGCUUCUUUGACGUUAGCGGCGGACGGGUGAGUAACACGUGUAUAACCUACCUAUAAUACUGGGAUAACUUCGGGAAACCGGCGCUAAUACCGGAGAAUAUUUUGAACCGCAUGGUUCAAUAGUGAGAGACGGUCUUGCUGGCACUUAUAGAUGGAUCUGCGCUGUAUUAGCUAGUUGGUAGGGUAACGGCUUACCAAGGCAACGAUGCGUAGCCGACCUGAGAGGGUGAUAGGCCACACUGGAACUGAGACGCGGUCCAUAGUCCUACGGGAGGCAGCAGUAGGGAAUGGUCGGCAGUGGGCGAAAGCAUGACGGAGCAACGGCGCGUGAGUGAUGACGGUCUUCGGAUCGUAAAACUCUGUUAUUAGGGAAGAACCGAUGUGUAAGUAACUGUGCACUUCUUGACGGUACCUAAUCAGAAAGCAACGGCUAACUACGUG